CAAAAUAUAGCUUACGAAAAAGCGAUCAGCUUACACCUGAAGGAUGUCCAUGAAACACAGGACUAUUUUGA
rnacentral:tRNA from 1 species